rnacentral:rRNA from 1 species
UACAGAGGUCCCAAGCGUUGUUCGGAUUCACUGGGCGUAAAGGGUGCGUAGGUGGUCGGGUAAGUCUGAGGUGAAAUCUCCGAGCUCAACUCGGAAACUGCCUUGGAUACUAUCCGGCUUGAGGGUUGGAGGGGGGACUGGAAUUCUCGGUGUAGCAGUGAAAUGCGUAGAGAUCAUGAGGAAGACCAGUGGCGAAGGCGGGUCUCUGGACAGUUCCUGACACUGAGGCACGAAGGCCAGGGGAGCAAACGGG